rnacentral:lncRNA from 1 species
UCCUAAACAUUUCAGUAUGUAUUUUCUAAGAACAAGGAUAUUCUCUUAUGUAACAACAGUGAUCACAAUCAGGAAAUUGACAUUGAUUUGAUAUCAACUAAUUGAAAUGCAUAUUUACAUUGAGGUAACAGUCCCCAAAAUGUCCUUCAUUGCAAGAAUUCUUUUUCUGAACAGGAUCCAACUCAGGAUUGAGUUGCCAUGUCUCUUUGGUCACUUUCAACUCGGAACAGUUCCUCAGCCUUUGUCUUUCAAGGUGUUGACUUUUUGGAAGAGUACGGGCCAGCGGUUCUGUACAAUAUUCUUCAAUCUGGGAUUCUCUGCUAUUUCUUCAUGAUUAGAUCCGCACUGUUUGCAAUAGCAAAAUAAUGGCAACAACGAAACCUGCAAACAACUGUCCGAUGAUACAUUGUGACACAGCCACAAAAUGUUCCAUUAUGCAACCAAUAAGAAUGAUAGAGUGUUCUUACUGACCUGUGAAGAUAUUUCCAAUUUUUUAGUGAAAACAGCAGAAUACAACUCAGUAGGUGUAAUAUGAGCCUAUUUUAUAUAAUUAUAUAUAUGCAUAGAAACAUUGAAGAUUUUAUAGAAAAUAUUAACAGUGACCUAUGGUUCCCAAGAUUAUGAGGGACUUUUUUUUUUUUUAAACUUAUCUGUAUGUUCUAAUUUUGACAUGAGCAUCAAGUCAUCUGUGAAUAGUGAAAAUAUUUUUUAAAACUUUAAAAAGUGACAGGACAGCUUCACUUUUAUAUCUGAAGGAUCAUUGUGUGGAAAAGUGAAUAGCAAUUAUUUAUCUGUCCUGUUAUCUACCAUGAACCAGCUAAUUUCAUUUAAAAUCGCUUUAUCUUUAUUUGCUCUAUAAGACAACCCAGUGGUUCGGAACCACGGAGUGAGCGUUGAGGCUGGGAGAGGGGAAGGGUACCCUGCUCAGAGUUACUGCUUACUAGUGGCAAAACUAGAACUCAAACCUAGGUCCUUUCUUCACUGACCUCACUCUGCUCCCGUGUGGCCCUUUUUCAGGGGUCUUCUGCCUGACUCCAUCUGGAUGAUGGCUGGGAAUUUUGACAGUUCCCCAGCUUUUGGUCUCACCACCAUACCUCUGGUGAUUUUCAUAGGUUUUAUAAGUAGGCACACAUCUUAACUUUUACUUUUUCUACUCAACAAGAAUUACGUAUGUGUUAUCUACGUACACAAGUGCAUUUUGCUUUCUGAUGUGUUUUCCGCUUUGAGCUGUCUUUGACCCCAUGGCAUUUUUCACAAGCAAGUUGGCUAGUCGAUGUCAUUGUCCUCUUGACACCCUGGUCUCAGUAUCCUCCUCCUCUCAAUUUUUCCUUCUGCCCUUUUACCUCCCAGGCACCUACAGUUCACUGCGCUCCAUAUCUGAAGGUCCUCUGCCAAGGAAAGACCAGACUGUAAUUUUGCUUAGGUGCCUAUUAAAUCUCUGCUAGUGCGGAGGGGCCAGGUAGACAGUCCAAGUGUAGUCAUAGCCAAUGGAAGGCCUUUUCAGUCUGGGUCCUGUCAUCUAAUGAGUUACUCUUAUCUUUGGGUCAUCUGCCAAAGCACACUGGCAGAGAACAAUGUGAUGGCUCUUGGCUGUCAGGGACAUUAAAUAGAGUCAAGAAGUCAAGUACGAUAAGAACUCAAAAGCACCCACUGGCUUUAGUGAACUUUGCUUGAGCAGUUUUACUGUAGUUGAGAGAAAUGGAGAGGUGUAGACAGAAGCGAGUGCGGUGAGCAAAGGAAUGGGCUGUAAAAAUACAGAAGUGGAGACUAGUGGGGACUUGACUUUCAAAAAAAUUAUAUGAGAAGAGUAGAGAAAUAUGGUAAAAUGAGAGGGAACACAGGAACCGGGGACAGUGCAUUAGUUGAUGGAGAAUCUUCAGUCCUUUAAUCCUCCCAGGUCUAUGCAUCCAGUACUAUUUUCACAUGCAUUUAAAAGGUGAUCUAGGAAGUUCCCUUCGUGGCUCAGCAGUUAACAAUCCCGACUAGGAUCCAUGAAGACAAAGGUUCGAUCCCUGGCCACGCUCGGUGGGUUAAGGAUCUGCCAUUGCCGUGAGCUAUGGUGUAGGUCGAAGACACGGCUCAGGUCCCAUGUUGCUGUGGCUGUGACCUACACCAGAGCUCACGGUAACGCAGGAUCCUUAACCCACUGAGCGAGGCCAGGGAUCAAACCCGGAACCUCAUCUGUUCCUAGUCAGAUUCGUUUCCACUGUGCCACGACGGGAACUCCAGCAACAUGUUUUCUCUAACUCCUCUCUCUGUGCCCCC